AGUUAUCCAAAAGCAGUGUGUAAGACUGGUGGAGGAGAACAUGCCAAGAUGCAUGAAAACUGUGAUUAAAAACCAGGGUUAUUCCACCAAAAUUGAUUUCAGAACUCUUAAAACUUUGAAUAUGAUCUUGUUUUAUUUGCAUUAUUUGAGGUCUGAAACCUCUGCAUUUUUUUUGUUAUUUCUGCCAUUUCUCAUUUUCUGCAAAUAAAUGCUCUAAAUGACAAUAUUUUUAUUUGGAAUUUGGGAGAAAUGUUUAUAGAAUAAAACAACAGUGUUAAUUUUACUCAAACAUAUACCUAUAAAUAGCAAAAAUAGAUAAACUAGUUCAGAAACUGAAGUGGCCUAUUAAUUUUUUCCAGAGCUGUAUAUGAGGUCAGAACAACCAUCAUUCAUGUGUUUAGGGUUGUUGUCCUGUUGGAACAUCCAGACAUAUCAUCUGUCUGUCUGAUUGUUUGUCCUGAUGUUAAAAAACUCUGACCUUUCUUAUUUAUUACUCCAUUUACUUAGCUCAAUGAACCAGUUACAAAUCAAAGCAUGAUGCUACCUCCACCAUGCUUAACAGUUGGUACAAUGUGUUUGGGAUGAAAUGCCUUUAUUCCUACAUAUAUUUUUUCCUCAGCUGACCACUUGACUUUCCUCUUUUCACAUGUGACUUGCAGUAUUUAAAUGCUCUCUAACUACAAUCCUUGUCUUGUUUGUGUGUAGGGAUUUUAUUCUAUGAGGAGUUUUAUGGUUUAUCAAUUAUAUACAUCCUUAUGUUUGUGUGUGGGUGUUUGUUAGCGUUUAGUGGAGUGUUUUUGAUCGCAAGGACUCGACCCAAAAUCAAAACCGACAGAGUUUUCUUCUCUAUGGGACAAGUUUCAAGUAAGAAACAUACAGACAAGGUGCAGCCGGAGAAGAAAGAAAGUAAGCAUGGAGCUCUGGCUUCCAAACUGGUCUGUAACAGCAGCACAGAGCAGGAGGACAUCUAGUGGAGCAACAAAGAGCUGCACGAAUGACUAUAAGAAUAGGGCAGACUGAGUACUGAGUGUGCAAUUGUGAGUAUAUGAGUGUGGAGACUGUGUGUGUGUGUGUGUGUGUGUGUGUNCACACACACACACACACACACACACACACACACACACACACACACACUCACUGCAGCUUCCCUCCCACAUACUCACUCACUGUUUCACUAGUCAGGUGGAAGCAAAGAAACUCUGCUGUUUU
rnacentral:lncRNA from 1 species